AUUGAACGCUGGCGGCAGGCCUAACACAUGCAAGUCGAACGAGUGGCGGACGGGUGAGUAAUGUCUGGGAAACUGCCUGAUGGAGGGGGAAAACUACUGGAAACGGUAGCUAAUACCGCAUACCAUCGGAUGUGCCCAGUUGGGAUUGGCUAGUAGGUGGGUUAAAGGCUCACCUAGGGGACGAUCCCUAUCUGGUCUGAGAGGAGGACAGGCCAAACGUGAACUGAGACACGGUCCAGACUCCUACGUGAGGCAGCAGUGGGGAAUAUUGCACAAGGGGCGAAAGCCUGAGGCAGCCAUGCCGCGUGUAUGAAGAAGGCCUUCGGGUUGUAAAGUACUUUCAGCGGGGAGGCGUUACCCGCAGAAGAAGCACCGGCUAACUCCGUGCCAGCAGCCGCGGUAAUUC
rnacentral:rRNA from 1 species